GCUUAACCUGCGGGAGGUCGCUUUCCACUUUUGGAUUCAUGACUGGGGUGGAGUCGUAACAAGGUAACCGUAGGGGAACCUGCGGUUGGAUCACCUCCUUACCUUAAAGAAGC
rnacentral:rRNA from 1 species